UACGUAGGGGGCGAGCGUUGUCCGGAAUCAUUGGGCGUAAAGCGCGUGUAGGCGGCCCGGUAAGUCCGCUGUGAAAGUCCAGGGCUCAACCCUGGGAUGCCGGUGGAUACUGUCGGGCUCGAGUCCGGAAGAGGCGAGUGGAAUUCCUGGUGUAGCGGUGAAAUGCGCAGAUAUCAGGAGGAACACCAAUGGCGAAGGCAGCUCGCUGGGACGUGACUGACGCUGAGGCGCGAAAGCGUGGGGAGCAAACAG
rnacentral:rRNA from 1 species